AGGAAAAGUUCAAUUUAGGGUUUAAAACCCUAAUGCUGACUGAAAGGAAAAGUUCAGUUUAGGGUUUAAAACCCUAAUGCUGACUAAAGGAAAAGUUCAGUUUAGGGUUUAAAACCCUAAUGCUGAUUGCAAGGAAAAGUUCAGUUUAGGGUUUAAAACCCUAAUGCUGACUGAAAGGAAAAGUUCAGUUUAGGGUUUAAAACCCUAAUGCUGACUAAAGGAAAAGUUUAGUUUAGGGUUUAAAACCCUAAUGCUGACUGAAAGGAAAAGUUCAGUUUAGGGUUUAAAACCUUAAUGCUGACUAAAGGAAAAGUUCAGUUUAGGGUUUAAAACCCUAAUGCUGAUUCUAGGAAAAGUUCAGCUUAGGGUUUAAAACCCUAAUGCUCACUGAAAGGAAAAGUUCAGUUUAGGGUUUAAAACCCUAAUGCUGACUGAAAGGGAGGGUUCAGUUUAGGGUUUAAAACCCUAAUGCUGACCGGCUGGGGACAAAGUUCGAGAAUACUAACUGGCCUCUUUUUUUAAAUUUUCUUGUUUUAGUAGAAGAUAAAAGGGAGUCUCGUGGGAACUUACCUUUCGAGUGAAUUCCUUAUUGCCAAAAUAUUUCUUGUACCCAUGUGCCUUCUUCUUUGGGUGACACCUGCUUCUUGCACGAUUGUCUUGGAUUAUACCUGUUUCAACUUUUCAGACAAAGAACAAUUGUUAGUUCGGAAAUGACGGUCGGUUCGGUGACCUUGAUCGUUCCCAGUUGCUUUGU
rnacentral:lncRNA from 1 species